rnacentral:rRNA from 1 species
GACGAACGCUGGCGGCGUGCUUAACACAUGCAAGUCGAACGGAAAGGCCCUGCUUUUGUGGGGUGCUCGAGUGGCGAACGGGUGAGUAACACGUGAGUAACCUGCCCUUGACUUUGGGAUAACUUCAGGAAACUGGGGCUAAUACCGGAUAGGAGCUCCUGCUGCAUGGUGGGGGUUGGAAAGUUUCGGCGGUGGGGGAUGGACUCGCGGCUUAUCAGCUUGUUGGUGGGGUAGUGGCUUACCAAGGCUUUGACGGGUAGCCGGCCUGAGAGGGUGACCGGCCACAUUGGGACUGCGAUACGGCCCAGACUCCUACGGGAGGCAGCAGUGGGGAAUAUUGCACAAUGGGCGGAAGCCUGAUGCAGCAACGCCGCGUGCGGGAUGCCGGCCUUCGGGUUGUAAACCGCUUUCGCCUGUGACGAAGCGUGAGUGACGGUAAUGGGUAAAGAAGCACCGGCUAACUACGUG